rnacentral:rRNA from 1 species
AACGAACGCUGGCGGCAUGCCUAACACAUGCAAGUCGAACGAAGCCUUCGGGCUUGGUUGCGCACGGGUGCGUAACGCGUGGGAAUCUGCCCUUGGGUUCGGAAUAACAGUUAGAAGUGACUGCUAAUACCGGAUGAUGUCUUCGGACCAAAGAUUUAUCGCCCAAGGAUGAGCCCGCGUCGGAUUAGCUAGUUGGUGAGGUAAAGGCUCACCAAGGCGACGAUCCGUAGCUGGUCUGAGAGGAUGAUCAGCCACACUGGGACUGAGACACGGCCCAGACUACUACGGGAGGCAGCAGUGGGGAAUAUUGGAAAAUGGGCGAAAGCCUGAUCCAGCAAUGCCGGGAGAGCGAUGAAGGCCUUAGAGUAGUAAAGCACUUUUACCCGGGAUGAUAAUGACAGUACCGGGAGAAUAAGCCCCGGCUAACUCCGUG